rnacentral:lncRNA from 1 species
UUUAAGCAAAAGUACUUUUAUUAGUAGUAAAGGGAAAUGUGAUACCUAAGAACUGUCAGAUGAGAAAGUUCGAUACAAAACGAUUUUUAAAAGUUAAAUCAGAAGCUGCCUGUAAGAAACUAAAAAAUGAUUUCACAAUUUCGAAUGCCUCUGGCAACAAAAUGGUGAUGAAAUUUGAUAAAGCAGAGAGAAACACACAAGGAGAAAAUAAGUCUAUACAUACAGAGGCAGGGACUAAAACUUACCUAUUGCUUGAGAAGAAAAAAAAUAAUGAAUUAAUAUUAGACUGCUCUCUGAAGACAUCAAAUCAAGCACUCAAUAUCAAUUAAAAUUGUGAAACAAAAUAUUUGGAUGAUUAAGAAAGAAACUGUAAACAAAAUAGAAAACAUAUAUAUAUCACUGUAUAAAUACACUGUAUCGCUAUCUCACUGUAUAAAUACAUCAUACACUCUUAUGUUGAAUAAUUCAUGCAGCCCUGGUCAUUGUAUUUCAGAAGAAAGAAGGGCAAGACAAAGACAGACAGGAGGAAGUAAAUUCACAGGAUCUAGGACAAAUUAAGACUAUUAAACAUAGCACACCCCUCUGAUAAGGAAAUAUUUGAACUGUACAUAUUGGAUACAAAACCCUGAAGAUGUCUGGAAGUCAACAGCUGAAGGUGUUCCUAAUUUGUAGGGGACAGUGGGAGCCUUAUAACCACAGGAAUGUACCCCUACCAAGGCAGGACACCUGCCAGGUACAAAGGGUUACAUGGACUUAUGGUUUGAGUCAGUGCAGGUAUUCUUACUUUAUGCACAACCAAGUGUUGUCCUGAAAAAGCUAAUAGAUAACAAUAGGAAAGAAUUGGAAUGGAAUGAAAAGUAUAGACAAGGUUAAAAUAAAAUAAAAUUAUAGGCAAAGUAACCAUGCUGUCCUUUACUCUCAGGAUACAUUAUAAUAAUCCUCUAUUCCCCCCACCCUUUUUCCUUUAACACCAUGUGUCUGCUGAGGUAGAUGGUAUUAAAUCCCUUCCCAAAUCAUUCAUUUAGUUCAGUGUCUGAACUCAAAAGGUAGGUCAAAUUGCAGUUUUCAGAAGUUAUACUACCUUUCCCAAUUGAAAUUAUCUAUUUUUUUGGUAGCAGAGGGUGGGGAAGAUGCCACACAGUGGAAUCCUCUCUCAGGGCCAAAACAUAGGUACGCAUAUCACACAUAGGUACACACAAAACAUAGGUACAGAUAUCUUCCAUAUCUGCUAUCAUGCCAGAAGCAUGGGCAAAAUUAUGCAAAAUCUGGAGCUUGGCCAAAUUUAAUUAGUAGAAAUAUUAAUUAAGUUUUGAUAUUGCUUUAUGCUGGGUCUAUUAUUGAAAAAAAGUUGCAUGCAACUGAGCUAAUGGGGUUCUUUCAAAUAUAUAAAAAUGAUAAGUAAAAAAUUCUGUAUUAUGGGGAGAUACUAUGA